rnacentral:rRNA from 1 species
UACGUAGGGGCCGAGCGUUGUCCGGAUUUAUUGGGCGUAAAGCGCGCGCAGGCGGCUUCGCGCGUCCGACGUGAAAGCCCCCGGCUCAACCGGGGAGGGUCGUUGGGUACGGCGGAGCUUGAGGGCGGUAGAGGUUGGUGGAAUUCCCGGUGUAGUGGUGAAAUGCGUAGAGAUCGGGAGGAACACCUGUGGCGAAGGCGGCCAACUGGGCCGACCCUGACGCUGAGGCGCGAAGGCGUGGGGAGCGAACGGG